UCGUAACAAGGUCUCCGUAGGUGAACCUGCGGA
rnacentral:rRNA from 1 species